rnacentral:rRNA from 1 species
CCUACGGGGGGUAGCAGUGAGGAAUAUUGGUCAAUGGGCGCGCGCCUGAACCAGCCAAGUAGCGUGAAGGAUGACUGCCCUACGGGUUGUCAACUUCUUUUAUAAAGGAAUAAAGUGCGGCACGUGUGCCUUUUUGUAUUUACUUUAUGAAUAAGGAUCGGCUAACUCCUUGCCAGCAGCCGCGGUAAUACGGAGGAUCCGAGCGUUAUCCGGAUUUAUUGGGUUUAAGGGGAGCGUAGAUGGGUUGUUAAGUCAGUUGUGAAAGUUUGCGGCUCAACCGUAAAAUUGCAAUUGAUACUGGCAGUCUUGAGUACAGUUGAGGUAGGCGGAAUUCGUGGUGUAGCGGUGAAAUGCAUAGAUAUCACGCAGAACUCCGAUUGCGAAGGCAGCAUACCGGCGCCCAACUGACGCUGAAGCACGAAAGCGUGGGUAUCGAACAGGAUUAGAUACCCCUGUAGUC